UACGUAGGGUGCAAGCGUUGUCCGGAAUUAUUGGGCGUAAAGAGCUCGUAGGCGGUUUGUCGCGUCGGCUGUGAAAACUCGGGGCUCAACCCCGAGCCUGCAGUCGAUACGGGCAGACUAGAGUGCUGUAGGGGAGACUGGAAUUCCUGGUGUAGCGGUGAAAUGCGCAGAUAUCAGGAGGAACACCGGUGGCGAAGGCGGGUCUCUGGGCAGUAACUGACGCUGAGGCGCGAAAGCGUGGGGAGCAAACAGG
rnacentral:rRNA from 1 species